rnacentral:tRNA from 1 species
UGGGGUAUAGCCAAGCGGUAAGGCAAGGGACUUUGACUCCCUCAUGUGUUGGUUCGAAUCCAGCUACCCCAG